UACGGGGGGAGCAAGCGUUGUUCGGAAUUACUGGGCGUAAAGGGCGCGUAGGCGGCCUUCUAAGUCGAACGUGAAAUCCCUGGGCUCAACCCAGGAACUGCGUCCGAUACUGGAAGGCUUGAAUCCGGGAGAGGGAUGCGGAAUUCCAGGUGUAGCGGUGAAAUGCGUAGAUAUCUGGAGGAACACCGGUGGCGAAGGCGGCAUCCUGGACCGGUAUUGACGCUGAUGAGCGAAAGCUAGGGGAGCAAACGGG
rnacentral:rRNA from 1 species